UCUCUGUAGGUGAACCUGCGGAGGGAUCAUUACUGAGCGAGGGUUUAACCGCCCGACCUCCAACCCUUUGUGAAUCAUACUCGUUGCUUCGGGGGCGACCCUGCCGUCCGCGGCUGAGCGCCCCCGGAGGCCUUCAAACACUGCAUCUUUGCGUCGGAGUUUAAAACAAAUUAAACAAAACUUUCAACAACGGAUCUCUUGGUUCUGGCAUCGAGAAGAACGCAGC
rnacentral:misc_RNA from 1 species